rnacentral:lncRNA from 10 species
CCGGGAGAUGGAGGUUGCAGUGAGCCGAGAUUGCGCCACUGCACUCCAGCCUGGGCAACAGAGCAAGACUCCGUCUCAAAAAUAAACACAGGCCCUCGCAGCAUUUCCAUCACACAGUAUUAUUCUGAUCACAGUCAUUCAUAAUCUUAGUCACCAUCUCAAGGACACACAAAGAAAAUCAGUCACACUUGAAAUCCCACCGUCACACGCUCACCCUCUCACAGUAUCUCACAACCCACGUAGGAAGUCUCAAACGGCAACCAUCUCUGUCAGUCACACACUCCAUGGUUAGUGUUACACUCAACCUAUCAGAAUCACACACUCCAACCCGUCAGAUACACACACCCAAGAGGUGUCAGACACAGAACCGCCUAUCAGACACAUAAACGGGUCCGCCCCACACCCUCCCAGGCCACUGGUCCUACAUUUUAUCUGUUAUCUGUCCGCCCGCUCCACACUUCGUCCGCCCCACACCCGGUCAAUCAGUCCAUCCGACACACACUCCGUCAGUCCGACACAUUCUCCGUCGGUCCGUCCGGCACUCAGUGUGUCAUUCCGCACCACAUUCGGUCCGUGAGUCUGUCCACACCGGGUCCGUCAGUCCGUGCACACACGGUCCGUCCACGCCUGGUCCGUCAGUCCGUCACAUCCUCUGCGCGUGUGUCCGGCACUCGCAGUCCGUCUACUCACGUCCCCUAGUCAGCCUCUCACUCUCUACCCGCUGGGCGGUACCCCGCAUCUCGCUCUGGCCGCCCCAGAGGUUCGCGGCUUCUGGACCUGCUGUGCCCCUCUCCAGCCUGGAUCAGGACGGAGAACACCCCCGAAACCCACCUCACCAGCACAGCCGGCGGACCCUUCCGGAGGUGGCCGCAGAGACUAGCCAACUUGCGCGCCCGCCGACCCGGACCACAGCUCCCAGCACACCUCAAGGGCCCACGCCCGCCAGGACUACAAUUCCCGGCGUCCUCCGGAAGCUCAAGUGUACCCAGGCGCGGUGCCUGCUGGGAAUUGUAGUUGACGUUGGUCAGCACGGAGGCCACAGGAUCCCAGCCCGGCCUUUGUGGGACUGAGGUGGCGCUGAGUGGGAGAGCAGCAGGCGAUGCGCGAAAGGCGGGACUUGGAGGUUCUGGAUGUUCCUGUGGAUAACCUCAAGGAGCACGGGACCUGGGACAUGACUGCCCCCAGCAUUCCUUCUGGCGGCAGACAGAGUUUGUCAGUUCGCCAACAUCCUGC